UACGGAGGGGGCUAGCGUUGUUCGGAAUUACUGGGCGUAAAGCGCGCGUAGGCGGCUUUGUAAGUUAGAGGUGAAAGCCCGAAGCUCAACUUCGGAAUUGCCUUUAAGACUGCAUCGCUAGAAUCAUGGAGAGGUGAGUGGAAUUCCGAGUGUAGAGGUGAAAUUCGUAGAUAUCAGGAGGAACACCGGUGGCGAAGGCGGGUCUCUGGGCAGUAACUGACGCUGAGGAGCGAAAGCGUGGGGAGCGAAAAGG
rnacentral:rRNA from 1 species